rnacentral:rRNA from 1 species
AUUGAACGCUGGCGGCAAGCCUAACACAUGCAAGUCGAACGAGUGGCGGACGGGUGUGUAAUGUCUGGGCAACUGCCUGAUGGAGGGGGAUAACUACUGGAAACGGUAGCUAAUACCGCAUACCAUCGGAUGUGCCCAGUUGGGAUUAGCUAGUAGGUGGGGUAAAGGCUCACCUAGGCGCCGAGCCCUAGCUAGUCUGAGAGGAUGACCAGCCCCACUGGAACUGAGACACGGUCCAGACUCCUACGGGAGGCAGCAGUGGGGAAUAUUGCGCAAUGGGCGCAAGCCUGAUGCAGCCAUGCCGCGUGUAUGAAGAAGGCCUUCUGGUUGUAAAAUACUUUCAGCGGGGAGGCGUUACCCGCAGAAGAAGCACUGGCUAACUCCGUGCCAGCCGCCGCGGUAAUUC